UCAGACCACAGUUGUGCCAGUCACAUUCAGAAACUCAACCGGUGAUCAUGAUGAUACAACGCCUGCAAGUGAGGACAGCAUGUCUUCUGGAAUGUCCACCUCACCUAAUGGAUCGGCACACUCGAGCAAAAAGCUGACCAUAACGACUGAUGCAUCUGUGAAAGGAGGGCUGGAGACCCUUGUUGUAGUCAGUAUUGGAUUCUCGGUUGCAACGACGGUGAUCAUCUCCGUCAUCGCUUUCUUGCUUUGUCGCAGAACAUUCAAACGACGAAAAGGUGGGAUUUGUUCUGUGUUUAAAUACGUCAUGAUAUGCAUUUGUUG